GGCGCUCCGCGGAUGACGUCACCGCUGGCCUUUGCAUUGUGGGGCGGGAAGUUUUUGGCAGUCAUCCUCGCCUUUCUUAUAGGCAGAGGUCUGGCUCCUGGAAACUACAACCCCCAGGCUCCUGCUCGCUCGGCGCCAGUGUGCGGGACAGAACGCGAAUUGGAGGCCCGGGCCCUCGUGAUUGCCGCAACCUGCGCUUGGCGUUUCUCGCGCAGUCCCUGCCCCGCUGGUUUUAAACCAGCAGGUCCCACCCAACUGCCCAAUGAUAAGAAUCAUCUGUGGGACUCGUUAGCGGUAUAAACAGAUGCAGAAAUGGAGACCAUAUAUCGCCUGAUCACAUAGCUAGAGGCUGAAGAGGAGGCUUUGAACCCAGGUUUUCUGAAUCCAAAUUUUGCAGCGUUUAACCCAAGCUAUGUUACUCCUGAGAUCUUGUGGGCAUCACACAUCAGAGACACACAGAGAGAGAAAGGCAGACACACAGGCAGAGGGAGAAGCAGGCUCCAUGCAGG